rnacentral:rRNA from 1 species
AGAGUUUGAUCAUGGCUCAGAACGAACGCUGGCGGCAUGCCUAACACAUGCAAGUCGAACGAGACCUUCGGGUCUAGUGGCGCACGGGUGCGUAACGCGUGGGAAUCUGCCCUUGGGUUCGGAAUAACAGUUAGAAAUGACUGCUAAUACCGGAUAAUGUCUUCGGACCAAAGAUUUAUCGCCCAGGGAUGAGCCCGCGUAGGAUUAGCUAGUUGGUGAGGUAAAGGCUCACCAAGGCGACGAUCCUUAGCUGGUCUGAGAGGAUGAUCAGCCACACUGGGACUGAGACACGGCCCAGACUCCUACGGGAGGCAGCAGUGGGGAAUAUUGGACAGUGGGCGAAAGCCUGAUCCAGCAAUGCCGCGUGAGUGAUGAAGGCCUUAGGGUUGUAAAGCUCUUUUACCCGGGAUGAUAAUGACAGUACCGGGAGAAUAAGCCCCGGCUAACUCCGUG